CCUACGGGGCGCACCAGUGGGGAAUAUUGCACAAUGGGCGCAAGCCUGAUGCAGCCAUGCCGCGUGUGUGAAGAAGGCCUUCGGGUUGUAAAGCACUUUCAGCGGGGAGGAAGGCGAUAAGGUUAAUAACCUUGUCGAUUGACGUUACCCGCAGAAGAACCACCGGCUAACUCCGUGACAGCAGCCGCGGUAAUACGGAGGGUGCAAGCGUUAAUCGGAAUUACUGGGCGUAAAGCGCACGCAGGCGGUCUGUCAAGUCGGAUGUGAAAUCCCCGGGCUCAGCCUGGGAACUGCAUUGGAAACUGGCAGGCUAGAGUCUUGUAGAGGGGGGUAGAAUUCCAGGUGUAGCGGUGAAAUGCGUAGAGAUCUGGAGGAAUACCGGUGGCGAAGGCGGCUCCCUGGACAAAGACUGACGCUCAGGUGCGAAAGCGUGGGGAGCAAACAGGAUUAGAUACCCGCGUAGUC
rnacentral:rRNA from 1 species